AGCCGGGUCCGGGUAACGCGGGGACGUGAAACCCGCCAGGCCCGGAAGGGAGCAACGGUAGCGUACCUUCGCGUGUACUCGGGGUGCCCGGCUAUC
rfam:Vulgatibacter incomptus strain DSM 27710, complete genome.